AAGCCAUGGAGCUGGUUUGGGAUGAACUGGACAGAAGACUGAAAGCAAAGCAACCUACAAGUGCCACACAUUUAUGGGAACUUCUGCAACAGAGUUGGGAAGAACUUUCUGAAGAAUAUUUGAUUUCCAUUGUGGAAAGAAUGCCACGAGUGUGUUCAGCUGUUAUAUCUGUCAAAGGUGCUCACCUCAUUGACCCAAACCCAGCGUAUGUCUGAAGCCUUGAUGCUGAGGGGAAACUGCUGAGGUUAACUCCCUGCUGUCAGUCACCGUUGCCUAUAGCAACAGUACAGGACAGCAGGGAAGUGCCUGCGAUCUUCUGAGUAGUGACGGCAGCACGACGGUCAACUGACCAUCCAAUGACGUCUUCACCUAAAGCCUGAAGGACAGGCGGGCGACGGCUGAUGAUCUGCUGCUGACACACUUCUUUAUUUUGUGUGUUUUUGUGUCUGUGCUGCUUUUUAGGUUUGUUUGCAUCUUUUAUGAACCAUUUGCUUCGAGCAUAACUUUGAAAUAUACAGUCUCAUUGAUGCAUUUUUAUGGCUCUCAACUUUAGGGAAGAUAACAUGCUCCCUAAGGUUCUGCCUUUGAAAGCCUCUGUAAGCUUGAAUAUAGCAGAGUUUUUAAAGGCUGCAGGAGAGUGAUAAGGCUCUGGGAUUUGAUGCAUUUACAUGGAGUAAAAGCUCUGGCUUAUACUUGGUGUUUUUAUUGCUAUGGCAUGAGCCUCAGGGGCUUUACAGCCUUAAUUUCAUGUAAUGAACUAGACGGGGAUUAUGGAAUUACCCAAAUUAAUAGUGUUUAUCGGCGAAUGCUCUCACUUUAAUUGAUGCAUAUGGUCUUUAUUGAGACAUUAGGCCAGAGGUUUUGAUGCGCUACCUUAUUUGUUUUCCCUCUUUUAUAUUCUGUGUUUGAUUCAGUGCUGCUGAGCAUAGCAACCGUCUUUACACAACUGUUGAAUAUUCAUGUGGGUCAUUAAGUGGAGUGCCUCAUACAAAUGAAGGUGGGGACUGGAGGACAGAUAUUUCUUAAAAGCAUGCCUCUGACCCUUUAAAUUUCCCUCGCCAUCCCCGCUCUAAACUCCACAUUUAGAUUGGAAAAUGUACAUUUGUGAACUUACAACACAGAUGUGUCCUGUGCAAGGACGUCAUUUUAAUUCUCUUGGUGCAUAGCUGCAUGUCACGAGUGGAUGGGUGCCCAUCCACGCCGUGUUAAUGCCUGCACAUUGCACUGUUGCCUGCUGAACAAUUGUUGCAGAAUGAUUAGAAGCAAAUUUUACGAGGUUAUCCUCCAGACCACCUUCUGAUUCUCUCCCUGACAGACCUGCUUGUGUAAGUAAGACAGAUAUCCUAAUUAGAAAAAGUGCACAGGACUGUUUCUUUUGGCGUAUGCCUGAAAAUGCCAUUAGAGCAUAAUUUGAUCAAAGCAAAGCAGCUGCUAUGACUUUGUGCGGAUCUCACAGCAAGGUUAAGAUGCUGCAUAUAGGUCUAUCUAUCACUGCCUCCUUGUCUUGGACAGUGUUCAGAGGUUUCACCUGAUCCUUGAGCGGUGUGCGCUCCCCCUCCACUAGGUGGCACUGUAGCCGUAUGUGGAGUAGGUCAAUGGAGCAAUACUGUACUCCUACUGUGUUUUGUCAUGACUGGAAAGAAAGACAAAUAAAACGGAGACAGGUGUUUGGGUUG
ensembl:lncRNA